rnacentral:lncRNA from 1 species
UUUUACCUUUUGCCGUAUCACGAUUGCUCCGCUUGCUCGCGCGUCCAUCUUACCGUAGAUUCUGGUACGCUGACGUUUCCAAUUCCUAUUGGAUACUAGUUGGCGGGGCCCACUGGCGCUCAGAGAGUCCACUUCUCAAGACGGGCGGCAGCGAGUUGGUUAAAUUAUGAGUUUUUUUCCCGGAUCAAUACUCUCCUAAAUAUUUAAUUUUACAUAAAUAUUUUUUCAAAAAUAAUAUUUGCAUAUAUACCUUAUAUAAUUUCAUAAAAUACUUAUUUUUUUUUAUAUUUUUUUUGUAUAUAUACCCACACCAUCUAAAGCCGUUAAAAAAAUAAUAAUUUUAAAUUAAAUGACUAAAAUAUUUUUAAUGGGCAGAUGUGCAAAAAGAACUAUCUAUAAGAC